rnacentral:rRNA from 1 species
GUGGGGUAAUGGCUCACCAAGGCGACGAUGCGUAGCCGACCUGAGAGGGUGAUCGGCCACACUGGGACUGAGACACGGCCCAGACUCCUACGGGAGGCAGCAGUAGGGAAUCUUCCGCAAUGGACGAAAGUCUGACGGAGCAACGCCGCGUGAGGGAUGAAGGUUUUCGGAUCGUAAAGCUCUGUUGUUAGGGAAGAACAAGUGCGAGAGUAACUGCUCGCACCUUGACGGUACCUAACCAGAAAGCCACGGCUAACUACGUGCCAGCAGCCGCGGUAAUACGUAGGUGGCAAGCGUUGUCCGGAAUUAUUGGGCGUAAAGGGCUCGCAGGCGGUUUCUUAAGUCUGAUGUGAAAGCCCCCGGCUCAACCGGGGAGGGUCAUUGGAAACUGGGAAACUUGAGUGCAGAAGAGGAGAGUGGAAUUCCACGUGUAGCGGUGAAAUGCGUAGAGAUGUGGAGGAACACCAGUGGCGAAGGCGACUCUCUGGUCUGUAACUGACGCUGAGGAGCGAAAGCGUGGGGAGCGAACAGGAUUAGAUACCCUGGUAGUCCACGCCGUAAACGAUGAGUGCUAAGUGUUAGGGGGUUUCCGCCCCUUAGUGCUGCAGCUAACGCAUUAAGCACUCCGCCUGGGGAGUACGGUCGCAAGACUGAAACUCAAAGGAAUUGACGGAGGCCCGCACAAACGGUGGAGCAUGUGGUUUAAUUCGAAGCAACGCGAAGAACCUUACCAGGUCUGGACAUCCUCUGACAACCCUAGACAUAGGGCUUUCCCUUCGCCCACAGAGUGACAGGUGGUGCAUGGUUGUCGUCAGCUCGUGUCGUGAGAUGUUGGGUUAAGUCCCGCAACGAGCGCAACCCUUGAUCUUAGUUGCCAGCAUUCAGUUGGGCACUCUAAGGUGACUGCCGGUGACAAACCGGAGGAAGGUGGGGAUGACGUCAAAUCAUCAUGA